GGGGACGGUGAUUCGGCUGAAGCUUACCUAUAGGUAAUCAUCUGCCUGUGAAGCCGGAGGCCAUGGGUUCGAGUCCCAUCGGCCCCGCCA
rnacentral:tRNA from 1 species